UACGUAGGUGGCAAGCGUUGUCCGGAUUUACUGGGCGUAAAGAGCGCGCAGGCGGUCGAUCAAGUCGCGUGUGAAAGCCCCCGGCUCAACUGGGGAGGGUCACGCGAUACUGAUCGACUCGAAGGCAGGAGAGGGUAGUGGAAUUCCCGGUGUAGUGGUGAAAUGCGUAGAUAUCGGGAGGAACACCAGUGGCGAAGGCGACUACCUGGCCUGUUUCUUGACGCUGAGGCGCGAAAGCUAGGGGAGCA
rnacentral:rRNA from 1 species